GAUGAACGCUGGCGGCGUGCCUAAUACAUGCAAGUCGAGCGAACGGACGAGAAGCUUGCUUCUCUGAUGUUAGCGGCGGACGGGUGAGUAACACGUGGAUAACCUACCUAUAAGACUGGGAUAACCUCGGGAAACCGGAGCUAAUACCGGAUAAUAUUUUGAACCGCAUGGUUCAAAAGUGAAAGACGGUCUUGCUGUCACUUAUAGAUGGAUCCGCGCUGCAUUAGCUAGUUGGUAAGGUAACGGCUACCAAGGCAACGAUGCAUAGCCGACCUGAGAGGGUGAUCGGCCACACUGGAACUGAGACACGGUCCAGACUCCUACGGGAGGCAGCAGUAGGGAAUCUUCCGCAAUGGGCGAAAGCCUGACGGAGCAACGCCGCGUGAGUGAUGAAGGUCUUCGGAUCGUAAAACUCUGUUAUUAGGGAAGAACAUAUGUGUAAGUAACUGUGCACAUCUUGACGGUACCUAAUCAGAAAGCCACGGCUAACUACGUG
rnacentral:rRNA from 1 species